rnacentral:rRNA from 1 species
CUUAACCGCAAGGAGGGCGCUUACCACGGUAGGAUUCGUGACUGGGGUGAAGUCGUAACAAGGUAGCCGUAUCGGAAGGUGCGGCUGGAUCACCUCCUUUCUAG